rnacentral:rRNA from 1 species
UACGUAGGGAGCAAGCGUUGUCCGGAAUCAUUGGGCGUAAAGCGCGCGUAGGUGGCCUCAUAAGUCCGCUGUGAAAGUCAAAGGCUCAACCUUUGAAAGCCGGUGGAUACUGUGGGGCUAGAGUACGGAAGAGGCGAGUGGAAUUCCUGGUGUAGCGGUGGAAUGCGCAGAUAUCAGGAGGAACACCAACGGCGAAGGCAGCUCGCUGGGACGGUACUGACGCUGAGACGCGAAAGCGUGGGGAGCGAACAGG